UACGUAGGUGGCAAGCGUUGUCCGGAUUUACUGGGCGUAAAGCGCGCGUAGGCGGCCCUGUAAGUCCGUUGUGAAAGUCAAAGGCUCAACCUUUGAAAGCCGAUGGAUACUGCAGGGCUAGAGUCCGGAAGAGGCGAGUGGAAUUCCUGGUGUAGCGGUGGAAUGCGCAGAUAUCAGGAGGAACACCAAUAGCGAAGGCAGCUCGCUGGGACGGUACUGACGCUAAGGCGCGAAAGCGUGGGGAGCGAACAGG
rnacentral:rRNA from 1 species